GUGCUCACUUUGGCGCCACAUAUACUAAAAUUGGAACAAUACAGAGAAUAUUAGCAUGGCCCCUGCGCAAGGAUGCCAUGCAAAUCCGUGAAGCAUUCCACAUUAAA